ACAUGCAAGUCGAACGGACCAUAUAAUUGGGUAACCGAAAGUAUGGUUAGUGGCGAAAGUGGUGAGGAAUAGAUAGGAACGUACCCUGUGCUCUGGGAUAGCGUCUGAAGCUUCGGCUUCUUCCGAAAGGGGCGGUAAUACCAGAUAAUGUCCUUCGGGACCAAAGAUUUAUCGGCAUUGGAGCGGCCUAUCUCCUAUCAGCUUGUUGGUGAGGUAACGGCUCACCAAGGCAACGACGGGUAGCGGGACUGAGAGGUUGGCCCGCCACAUCGGGACUGAGACACUGCCCGGACCUCCACGGAGGGCUGCAGUAACGGAUAUUGGGCAAUGGGCGAAAGCCUGACCCAGCAAUGCCGCGUGCAGGAUGAAGCCCCUAGGGGUGUAAACUGCUGUCAGGGGUCAGAAAGCUGGUUUCGGCCAGUUGAUCAACCCCAGAGGAAGUCACGGCUAACUUCGUGCCAGCAGCCGCGGUAAUGCGAAGGUGGCAAGCGUUAUUCGGAAUCAUUGGGCUUAAAGGGCACGCAGGCGGAACAGUGUGUGUUGUGUGAAAUCCCCCGGCUUAACCGGGGAAUUGCACAGCAAACUGCUGUUCUUGAGGCAGGUAGGGGUGCAUGGAACUCUUGGUGGAGCGGUGGAAUGCGUAGAUAUCAAGAGGAACGCCAGAGGUGAAGACGGUGCACUGGGCCUGUCCUGACGCUGAGGUGCGAAAGCGUGGGGAGCGAACGGGAUUAGAUACCCCGGUAGUCCACGCCGUAAACGAUGUCUACUAGGCCGUGGGUGUUCUGACACAUUCACGGCCGGAGCAAAAGUGUUUAGUAGACCGCCUGGGGAGUACGGCCGCAAGGUUAAAACUCAAAUGAAUUGACGGGGGCUCACACAAGCGGUGGAGCAUGUGGAUUAAUUCGAAGCAACGCGCAGAACCUUACCUGGGUUUGACAUGCUUGUAUGCCUUCUCUGAAAGGAGUUAGGCUGCCUUCGGGUGAAACUUGCACAGGUGCUGCAUGGCUGUCGUCAGCUCGUGUCGUGAGAUGUCGGGUUAAGUCCUUUAACGAGCGAAACCCUUGCCGUUAGCUGCCAGCGAGUAAUGUCGGGGACUCUAACGGGACUGCCGGUGUUAAACCGGAGGAAGGUGGGGAUGACGUCAAGUCCUCAUGGCCUUUAUGCCCAGGGCUUCACACGUGCUACAAUGGCAAUUACAGAGCGACGCGAUACCGCGAGGUGGAGCAAAUCGCAAAAAAUUGCCUCAGUUCGGAUUGCAGGCUGGCAAUUCGCCUGCAUGAAGUCGGAAUCGCUAGUAAUCGCGUAUCAGCAAUGACGCGGUGAAUGUGUUCCUGAGCUUUGUACACACCGCCCGUCAAGUGAUGGAAGCCGGGAGUACCCGAAGUCGGGUUGCUAACC
rnacentral:rRNA from 1 species